rnacentral:rRNA from 1 species
UAGGGAAUAUUGGUCAAUGGGGGCUACCCUGAACCAGCCAUGCCGCGUGCAGGAAGAAGGCUUUCUGAGUUGUAAACUGCUUUUCUUAAGGAACAAAAAGAUCAUGCGUGGUCAAUUGAGUGUACUUAAGGAAUAAGCACCGGCUAACUCCGUGCCAGCAGCCGCGGUAAUACGGAGGGUGCGAGCGUUGUCCGGAUUUAUUGGGUUUAAAGGGUGCGUAGGCGGUCGAUUAAGUCAGUGGUGAAUUCCUACAGCUCAACUGUGGAACUGCCAUUGAUACUGGUUGACUUGAGUAUUGUUGAGGUAGGCGGAAUUUAUGGUGUAGCGGUGAAAUGCAUAGAUACCAUAAAGAACACCGAUAGCGAAGGCAGCUUACUAGACAAUAACUGACGCUGAGGCACGAAAGCGUGGGGAGCGAACGGGAUUAGAUACCCCGGUAGUCC